CAGGGAUAGCUCAGGCGGUAGAGCAUGAGACUUAAUCUCAGGGCCAUGGGUUCAAGUCCCAUAUUGGGUGAAAGA